rnacentral:piRNA from 1 species
UAAUGGGAUCCGAUGCCCUCUUCUGGUGUG